AUAUAUGACGGCGCCACCGUCGAUGUGUCAACCGUCGAUCUGUCAACGGUGGACCUUAUAUAAAGCGGCGCGCGCGCACGACUCGGGUCAUUCGUUCGCCGACCGUUGCCGAGUGCACACCUCCCACAAAUUCGUGAUAAAUAAUUGUAGUGACUAAUACUGUGUUAAUUGGAAUAAACCAAGUGAUUGUGUGAGAACCCCUUUGUUUUAUUUAACGAUGUCGGAUCCUGACGCCGACAUCAGAAGUGGGAUACAAUCCGAAUGCCCACAUCUUUUAAGGAUUGCCCUGCAUCGCCCACGUGUUCAAAAUGUGAAGAUUCUGGUGGCAAAAGUUGAUACGCCUGAUACAACACUGCUAUCGCAUUGAAUCAAGCCAGGCAAGCACAAGCAAGAAUCCUGGGUGGUGAAUCUCGUACUGCAACAUGAUGUUGGUUGGUUGGUGAAUGACCAGACUGAUUUCGGGAGAACUCGCCACGUGAAGAUAAAUUGCCUACCCACUAAAAAGAAAAAAAAUGGAAGUCGAUAAUUUAAAAUGGAGUUUGUAGUAGAAGAUUUAAUAAGAAUUUCAGCGAAGGUACAAGUAUGGUAACCACGGUUAUGCCCAACGUGUCUUUGUGAGGUCGGAGUGUUGGGGCUUGUGCAUCUCCGUGGCUUCACGUCCGCGAAAGCUUUGCUGUACUGCGCGCCAUAGCGAUGUGCGAUCGUCACGCACUUUGAGUGGAAAACCCGGUGAGACCAAUCCAUUGUUCAAUCCAUAGUUUUAUGUUGAGGUUAUUUUUUACACGAGGUUAUUAAACGUGGAACUGCCUCGUUGACUAGUGGUAUUGGUAGAUAUGAACUGUGUCGUUGGUUUAGUUGUCACGUAGUGCGACUGUUGUGCUCGGGAUCUCGGGUCGGGACGAUUUCGCUUUGUUGGUUUUGGAAAUUUUCAAAAGGCAGCCCGGAGCCUGGAAGACGCUGAUUGACGCACCCUUCCUCCUUGUGGUUUCUCUCUGGUUGUGUUGGGCUGUCGCUAUGAGAUUGAAGGAAUAGGGUACGUCUGUGUCUGCGCAGAUGCCUGCGCACUAUAAUAUGUGCGCGGCUGGCUGAUCUCGUAAUAAGGGCUAAUUAUACGAUCGCCGUGGUCAACAAUCAGCUGGCACACAAUUAUUGUCAGUGGUAGUUAACUAGUGGAAUCACCGACGCUGAGAAGUAGUUCCACGGGUUCUGAUUAAUGUCUUUCAGUUACAUAGAAUAAUUCAAUAUACGUCAGACUAUAGUUUUGUUGGCAAUUCUUACGCCUACUUAGUGAUUUUAUUGUGUUAUGCUGUACCUAUGAUGGGUAUCGGGGUGACUUGGAAAAGUCCCGUUGGCCUGUGCGAUAGCAGCGUGGUGAUCAGGAAGAGACUCGUGUAAAUCUGUGUGAGUACAGUUAGUGUCGCGCUACUGUGGUUCCUAGAAAACCAGGAUGGGCUGAUAAGUCGGCUAAGGGACACAAAGGUCAUGUAAAGCCUGUCGAAUGGAAGGCGUUCGUGUGAGUGACAAUUAUAGUUGUAAUUUACAAUUUGAAAGUCGGACUAACUGUUGGAUCUUUCUUUUAUUUCAUGCUUGGCAGCUGAUGUGACCGGUUUCUUCGUUUGAAAGGUGAUUGCUGUUCUUGAAAUCCGUAACUGGUGGUAGUGCAGCUCGUGAUGCGUAGGAGAAAUGUGUCAGGGGUGUAGUGCCGUUGAGUCGUUCUGGCUAGUGUUGGUGCGCACUUAUGGCUGUGAUUUCUGGAGUGUAGGUCUGGUGGGUGGUGCCUGUCUUAUUCUGAGCGUGCCGGUGUGAAGGACUUGCCUCUUGUUUAGGUUAGAUUUGCCAGAGGAGAACUGUUGCUGUUCCCAGAAUAUUGCCUCAUCGGCGCGGAUGGCUAUUGUUGCGCCACACAUUUGGGACUUGACGGCUGGGGGGGCCACUGCUGACCCAAAUGUUUUCAAAGUUUAGUCAGUUGCCUAAGCACUUUCCUUUUCUGACUUCACGGAUGCCGUCUGAGAUGAAGUUUGCCGGGGGAGCAGAAAUUGUCGGGUUUGUGGCUGAGUUGACGGGGUGUCUGGCUCUGCGCCACGAUCGGUCGAUCUGUUUGGUUAAUCAGGUAGUAUGUAAACGCGAACAGAGAGAGUUCAUUGUAAGGGAGGCUGACAUAGUUGGUUUGACUUUAAUGUCUACUAGAUAUAGUUAGUUGCUUAUUGAAUGUGUGGAUAACGAUACCGAGAGAGUUUUGCAAUGGACGUUAGCUGCCGUUCUAGCUGUUGAUAAGUCGAGAAAUUAUCCCUAUAGUCAACGUGACUCAGUGUUUGCCGGUUGUGCGCGGCGACGUUGACUGUCCCGGACUGGGCGGAGAUAUCCCAAAUCGUUGUAGUGCUAGGUCUGGCUUCGGUCUGAAAGUUCGACUCACACAAUAGCAGACUAGUAGAAUUGGCUGUGUGGUUGUAGUAGGAGGUUUGGUUGUUGAGUCUUUUGUAUUGUAAUUACCUAGAAACGACUAUAUUAAUAGCUGACCUCUCUUUACGAAUUCAUAGAUCUUGACCAUAGAGUUGGGCCUUUUGGUAGUCUGACUUCAGGGAUCGAAUACAACCUUUCAACUAGGAAUCCCUUAUUUGAAUCCGUACUUAAGCCUUGAACAGUAGCUGUUGUCUUCCGGCUAGUCUUUCCAAUCAGAUAAUCGUAUACCAGUCGGAGUAUUCGAGAAAUCCUGUAAAAAUUCUACUACUCUUAUAACAAUUAGAAUUUUUGGCAAACAGUCAGAUAGGGCGAGCAAUGCGAAAUUUUUAGUGCCUAUUUGCGAUUGUAGAGAAUGAAUCGAACGUUGCGCGACGGGCUCGUAGAAGUUCAUUAUAAUCAUAUACCCGUCAGUCAUCAUCAUACUCUUCAGAUCGUUGUUGUUGAUGUUGAUUAAGUAGCAAAUAGUAUCUACCAGGUUCAGUGCAAUAUACCGUAUACCAAUCGAGCUUAUAUUUUAUUUCUACGAGAACGAUGUCUUCAGAUUUAGCGAGCUUCUUAGUCGACUCUGCUUAGUCGUAGAUAGAAAUUCGAGAUACAGCAAACGGAAUGAUUUAGGAGGAAAAUAGCUUCGACAAAACAGAGCGUUUUAAUCUUUUAGUGACAACAGUGAGAUUCCUCUUGAAGAUGGUUUUGUUCGUCUAAUUUGAGCGGAAGAAACCGAAACUCAAUUGCAUAGGAAUUUCUAGGGCUUUUGCUUUCAUUGUAAUAGACGUAGAAUAUGAUAGGUAUCUUCUAUGGGGUUUCUUGCCGAAUAUUCUCCAUGGGAACAGCUGUAUGGUCCCGUGCAACUAGUGUCGUGAAACUUUAUAGGAAAUCGCUAAGGUUCAUUUGAGACCAUCUUAUAUUGAAUUCGUGUACUAGUAAGACCACUCGAAAAGUGCUGUGGUAACAUACCUGGAGCCCGUGUAGGCUUACUUGAAGUAGCUUGUAUUCCAACUAAGGACUGAGGAGGCCGAGACGGCGGCUCACGAUCAUGGAAGGUAUAAGGUGUCAUCUGAUAAUGACGGUGACAGUGACGAAUUUCAAUUAAUGUUCUUUGACCUGUACUUAUAUGACACGACUUCAGAAAUGAUCAUGAUGUUCGACUGACAUGACUUCAGAAAGUGAUGAUUGGUGGCUAACUUAACGUAACUAACUUAACUGAACUGGCUGGCAGGGCCGUGCAAGUGUGACAAAUCUUGGGGACUGCCCUGACACGUGACUGGUGUGACUGAUUUUAGGAAAUGGCUCUCUGGGUCAAUGUUCUGCGACUUAUGACAAACCGAAUCAUGUUAAGAACUGGCCUUAAUGGGUCGUAGGUUCUGGUGACUAACCAAGUAUUUUGUGUAGACUAUGUGAGAUUUUAUAAAAAAAAAAAGAAAAAAAAAGUCACAAAAAAAGUAAGCUAAAAAAAAAGAGAAAAAGGUAAUUAAAAAAAAAAAUGGUUUAACAGUCUCCGGUUGUAAUACCGAUGAGAAUGGUUUAACGGUCUCCGGUUGUAAUACCGAUGAGAAUGGUUUAACGGUCUCCGGUUGUAA